UCAACCAUCUCGAGACCCUAGUGGCCCGGUGUUGGGGAUCUACUUCUGUAGGCCCUUAAAAUCAGUGGCGGACCGAGCGUGGCCCUUCCAAGCGUAGUAAUUUUCGGUCGCAUCGGAGUCCCGUAGGCACCAGCCUCUAAACCCCCUACAAGCCCGUCUCGUACGGCAACG
rnacentral:misc_RNA from 1 species